UUCCCUCCAUUAGAUCUCUCCGGUGUCUUGAGAUCUACUCGUUCAUACCCAUCUUUCAUGGGUUCCAAUAAUGGUUCCACCCUUGGCUUGGACUUCUCCAAGGGUUUGGUUUUUGCUGAGAAGGUUUUUCAAUCUACGGGCUUUUCGGUGCAUCCCAUGGAGGACUCGGAGAUCUUUACCAUGGUGGUCUCGUUUGGACGUCAUUCCUUCCGUUUGAAUGAAGAUUCGGUGGCGGCAGCUCUUGAGGCAGCAAUUGGCGGCUCGGGUAUUGAUCUUAUGGUUUUCUUGAUCAAGGAUAAGGUAUUUGGCUUUCAGGUAUCUUGCAAGGCUGUUGCCAUGAUCAUUAUUAGUCUUCGAUCUUUUGCUUGUGAUCAUUUCAAAUGUUACUUUCAUCUUUGGAGUAACGGGGGCCCG
rnacentral:rRNA from 1 species